UACGUAGGUGACAAGCGUUGUUCGGAUUUACUGGGCGUAAAGAGCGCGCAGGCGGUCGAUCAAGUCGAGUGUGAAAGCCCCCGGCUCAACUGGGGAGGGUCAUUCGAUACUGAUCGACUCGAAGGCAGGAGAGGGUAGUGGAAUUCCCGGUGUAGUGGUGAGAUGCGUAGAUAUCGGGAGGAACACCAGUGGCGAAGGCGACUACCUGGCCUGUUCUUGACGCUGAGGCGCGAAAGCCAGGGGAGCAAACGGG
rnacentral:rRNA from 1 species